CUGAGUAGUAGUCCAUUGUGUAUAUAAACCACAUCUUCUUAAUUCAUUCAUCUGUGGUACUGGUACAAAAACAGACAGAAUGACCAAUGGAACAAAACAGAGAACCCGAAAUAAACCCAGACACCUAUGGUCAAUUAAUCUUCGACAAAGGAGGCAAAAAUAUAAAAUAGAAAAAGACAGUCUCCUCAACAAGUGGUACUGAGAAAACUGGACAGCUGCAUGUAAAUCAAUGAAACUUGAACACAUCCUCACACCAUACACAAAAAUAAACUCAAAAUGAUUUGAAGACUUAAACGUAAGACACCAUAAAACUCCUGGAAGAGAAAAUAGGCAAAAUAUUCUCUGAUAUCAAACUUACAGAUGUUUUCUUAGGUCAGUCAGUCUCCCAAGGCAACAGAAAUAGAAACAAAAACAAACCAAGGAAACCUAAUCAAACUGACAAGCUUCUGCACAGCAAAGGAAACCAUAAAAAAAAAAAGACAACCUAUAGAAUGGGAGAAAAUAUUUUCAAAUGAUGUAACAGACAAGGGCUUAAUCUCUAAAAUAUACAAACAACUUACACAACUCAACAAAACCAAAACCAACAACCCAAUUAAAAAAUGGGUGAAAGACUUAAAUAGCCAUUUCUCUAAAGAAGAUAUACAGAUGGCCAACAGGCACAUGAACAAAUGCUCAACAUCACUGAUUAUUAGAGAAAUGCAAAUCAAAACUUCAGUGAGGUACCACCUCACACCAGUCAGAAUAGCCAUCAUUAACAAGUCAACAAAUAGCAAAUGCUGGAGAGGGUGUGGAAAAAAGGGUACCCUCCUUCACUGUCGGUGGGAAUGUAAAUAGGUACAACCACUAGGGAAAACAUUAUGGGGGUACCUCAGAAAACUGAACUACCAUAUAAGCCAGCAAUCCCACUUCCGGGCAGAUGUUCGGACAAAACUUUCAUUGAAAAAGAUACUUGCACCCCUAUAUUCAUAGCAGCACUAUUCACAAUAGGCAAGACAUGGAAACAACCUAAAUAUCCAUCAGAUAGAAACAGACUUUCAGAAGUCAAAACACACUGGUUGCCAGUUGCAAUGAAGUUCCACCCUACGACUCUUUGCUUUGUGUGGUCCCGGUGACUUGCUAUAGCAAAGCUGAGGAGAAGUUCAGCAAAGGGGCAAGAGUGCCAGUCUUAUCUUUUCUUCCCA
rnacentral:lncRNA from 1 species